rnacentral:misc_RNA from 1 species
GCUUUGAGAGUCUCGAAUCUCGUUUCAAUAAGUGUUUGUUCUACAGGAAAAAAGACGAUGUUCAGGCUCGUGUGAUUGUCAGAGUCUUUUAGUAAUCAGUUUUGCCCCUAUGAUCG